UUCCAACCUUUCCUCAUCGGCUCAUCCUUUCCUUCUAAGUUCUAACUUGCAUCGAAAGUAGCCAAAUAGAAAACUUCUGCAUCCAUUAUACCCGGAUUUCUCACCGAGUCACUCACUCACACCGUCUUGUAAGAAGCAGAGUCGAUAAAAAUGGAGUUGGAGGUACGAGUGGUAGCUGGAGUAGAAAACUGCUAUGUCUCACUCCCACUCUCUCUCCUCCAAACUCUCGAAUCUACUCAUCCUGAUCAUCGCCUUCCUCAUCUCAUUCCUCUCCAACUUCGUUCUCUCUCCGACGACCGCCAUUGGCAUGUUUCCUGGUGUGGUUCUUCCUCCUCUUCUUCCGCCAUCGAGAUAGCUCAAGAGUUUGCUGGUUGUAUCGGUUUGCCGGAUGGUACAAUUGUUCAAGUUCGAGCUCUUCCUAACGUGCCCAAGGCUAGCCUUGUUACAAUUGAACCUGCUGCGGAAGAUGACUGGGAAGUUGUUGAGUUAAAUGCUGAGAGUGCUGAGGCUGCUAUCUUGAACCAGAUACGGAUCAUCCAGGGAAAGACGAGUUUUCCUUUGUGGUUGCAUGGCCAUCGAAUUGUUACUUUUACUGUGGUCUCAAUGUUGCCCGAUAGAAAUGUGGUGCAACUUGUUCCAGGAUCUGAAGUUGCUGUUGCACCGAAGAGGCGUAGAAAAUCUGCUGAUCAGUGCAAGGACUCCAGUUUGGAGUCUUUAAAUGAAUCUCGUACCAUCCGAAAGGCGCUUUUGCGCAUUCAAGACCCAAAACAGAGGUUAAAUCAGGAUAGCCAUCUAGGAAGAGGAAACGUGAGCAUUGAGAUGACAUCUAUUGCUUUAAUUCACCCAGAAACAGCCAAAAACUGUUUGUUUGACUCUCUUCAUGUAGUUGUCAUAGUGCCUAGAAGGCCUUUAAAAAUGAAAGUGGAAAAAUCUGGAAAUAAUACUUCGAGGAAGCAGUUAUCUUCUUCUGCAAAGGAGCUAAGUGGUAAACUUUUGACUGAUGAGGAUGAUUCUCGCUACGCAAUAGUUCGUCUCGUGUUCUGUGAGUUUGUUGGUAAAGGACAUCUCAUGCUUUCUCGAUCUUUAUGUCGCUAUCUGAGAGUACGCUUCCACUCAUGGAUUUAUAUGCAAAAAUAUGCCAAUGAUUUGAAGAAAGAUAUUCCUUCAUUUUCACUCUCCCCUUGCCAGUUUAUAGUGUUUCAAAAUAGCCAGGAUUCUCAGAUCAAUGAUGCAGAAGUUCUUGAUGACAGUUCAAAUAAAGAAGACAAUCUUUCGUUUCAUCGGUCUACUCGUGACAUGGGUCGACCAGAUAUCUCAUCACAAGAGGAGCUUAUCUCUACUCUUUUCGAAGAAUCAGCUGAUAAUGCAAAGGAUAGUGGUUUCCCUUCCAAUGCUAAAGAGCGAUUAAAGAGCCUCCUUCACGCAUGGAUAAUGGCUCAGUUCCAUGCGAUUACUUCAAUGACUGGAGUAAAGCCUACUUCGGUGGUUUUGGGUCCUACAACUUUUCUUCACUUGGAAUUGACUACUAGCAGUUGUCUGCCUGUUGGUAGAUGGCAGUCAUCGACUGACUCUUUGAGAGGGAAAAUGAUGGUUGACUCAGUAAAUGAGAUCUUAUAUGUGUUAAACGCUUCUGGUGAAUCUUCGCUUGGUCAAAAGUAUAGUGCAUAUGAGCUUGUAAUGGGAGAUCAUGUCACUAGUUCUCAUGAUGUUCUGAGGCUAUUUUCUGAAAACUUGAGCAUGGGCAGUGCUGUAUCAUACAAUACUUGCCAAGAUCAUUCCUUCAACCAAAUCACCACGUCUACUAUUUCUUCUUUGAGUUGGAUGGGUAUUGCAGCUUCAGAUGUCAUAAAUAGAUUGACAUUGCUGUUAUCUCCUGCUUGUGGAACAUGGUUCAGUAAUCUCAACCUUCCAUUACCUGGUCAUGUUCUAGUAUAUGGUCCUCCUGGAUCUGGAAAAACCGUUUUAGCUUCAGCUGCUGCAAAAUCCCUGGAGGAGAACAAAGACAUCUUGAUUCACACAGUUUUUGUACCUUGCUCAACUCUGGCUGUAGAAAAGGUCACGUCGAUCCGAAAUAGACUGUGUGACUAUCUAUCAGAUGCGCUGGAUAAUGCACCAUCUCUCGUCAUCUUUGACGAUCUUGAUAGCAUUAUUACAUCCUCGAGUGAUGCUGAAGGAUCUCAAACAUCUGCCUCAGUGGUCGCACUUACAGAAUUUAUCACUGGAAUCAUGGAUGAGUAUGGGGAAAAGAGAAAGCAAUCAUGUGGCCUUGGUCCUAUAGCAUUCAUAGCAUGUGUGCGUGCUCUUGAUAGCAUACCUCAGUCACUGAGGUCCUCAGGGAGAUUUGAUUUUCAUGUACAACUUCCUGCUCCUUCUACCUUAGAACGUCUGGCUAUCUUGAGGCAUGAAAUUCAGAAACGCUCCUUGCACUGUUCAGAGGAUGUUUUGCUAGAUGUAGCCUCAAAAUGUGAUGGAUAUGAUGCAUAUGAUCUGGGCAUAUUAGUUGAUAGGAGUGUCCAUGCAGCUAUUGGUCGAUUUUUGCCUUCUCACGAAGCCGUUGAGAGAAGACACCCGAGCUUAAUUGCAGAUGACUUUGUACAAGCUAGACAAGAUUUCCUUCCUGUCUCCAUGCGUGAUAUUACCAAGUCUCCAUCUGAAGGUGGCCGUGUUGGCUGGGAAGAUAUUGGUGGUCUUAAUGAUGUUCGAAAUGCCGUUAAAGAGAUGAUUGAACUACCUUCAAAAUUUCCAACUAUAUUUGGUAAAUCUCCUCUAAGGAUGCGGACAAAUGUUCUGUUAUAUGGCCCUCCCGGCUGUGGAAAGACUCAUUUUGUCGGGGCAGCUGCUGCUGCUUCUUCACUCAGAUUUAUAUCAGUAAAAGGGCCUGAGCUGCUGAAUAAAUACAUUGGUGCAUCUGAACAAGCUGUUCGAGACGUAUUCUCCAAAGCAGCUGCUGCUGCUCCAUGCCUUCUUUUUUUUGAUGAAUUUGACUCCAUUGCCCCUAAGAGAGGACAUGAUAACACUGGAGUCACUGAUCGUGUUGUUAACCAGUUCCUGACUGAAUUAGAUGGCGUAGAAGUUUUAUCUGGUGUAUUUGUUUUUGCAGCAACAAGUAGACCUGAUUUACUUGAUGCUGCUUUGCUACGACCUGGUAGACUGGAUCGUCUGCUUUUCUGCGAUUUUCCUUCUUUGCAUGACAGAUUGGAUAUUCUUAGAGUUCUCUCUAGAAAGCUACCCUUGGGAGAUAAUGUUGACUUGGAUGCAAUAGCAUAUAUGACUGACGGCUUUAGUGGUGCGGAUCUCCAAGCUCUUCUCUCGGAUGCCCAAUUAGCUGCAGUUCAGGAGCUUCUUGACAGUGGAUAUGAUGGCAAGUCAGGAGCAUCACCCGUUAUUACAGAUCAAUUGUUGAAGUCUAUCGCGUCCAAGGCUAAACCAUCAGUUUCAGAGUCUGAGAAACACAGGCUUUAUGCCAUUUAUCACCAAUUUUUGGAUGCAAAAAGAUCUGUUGCUGCACAGUCUAGAGAUGCAAAAGGCAAAAGAGCGACAUUGGCAUGAUGACAGAUUUGCUUCAUUCCACCCAAGACAAAUUACUUGAGCAAGCAGCAGCAUCCUGUAAUGAUUCACAAUGGCACCAUAUGUCGUCGUCUGGUCGAUAUCACAUUCCAACCAAAUUAGCCAGCAGGUGGUCUUUUGAUACAUCGGCCUAGGUGUGGUGAGAUAUGUUGCAAACACAAUUAAGGUGCCUAGUUCUGUUAUAGCCAGCAGGUGAUCUUUUGAUACAUUGGCCUAGGUGUGGUGAGAUAUGGUGCGAACACAAUUAAGGUGCCUAGUUCUGUUAUAGUUGCACGCCAAGUCUGAGAAUGAUCUUGCUCAGGAAAGCAGGUUACUAAGUUCACACCGUAUGUCAACCUAUCAAACAAGAUACUUGAGCUGUGGCAAGGGCAUCACUAACUGGCAACAUUGCUGUUUCUGCAUUAGGUUACUUCCAAGGGGGAAAAAGGAACCGUAAUUGAUUAUCCUAGUAAAGUUUUACAUCUCCACUGUAACGUUACUUUUCAAAGCAGAAAAUUCCCGACCAGUUUAGCAUGUGGUUAUAGAUGUUAUCAGUAAUAAAUUUAAUGUAAUUUUGUAAGGAAGAUCUAAUGUCAAUGUCCACGAUGAAGCAAUUGUAACGUCACAUAUGUAUUUUUCUUAAUAAAUGUCUGUUACCGCAUUA